rnacentral:rRNA from 1 species
GACGAACGCUGGCGGCGUGCUUAACACAUGCAAGUCGAACGCUGAAGCUUGGUGCUUGCACUGGGUGGAUGAGUGGCGAACGGGUGAGUAAUACGUGAGUAACCUGCCCUUGACUCUGGGAUAAGCCUGGGAAACUGGGUCUAAUACUGGAUAUGACAUGCCACUGCAUGGUGGUGUGUGGAAAGGGUUUUACUGGUUUUGGAUGGGCUCACGGCCUAUCAGCUUGUUGGUGGGGUAAUGGCCUACCAAGGCGACGACGGGUAGCCGGCCUGAGAGGGUGACCGGCCACACUGGGACUGAGACACGGCCCAGACUCCUACGGGAGGCAGCAGUGGGGAAUAUUGCACAAUGGGCGGAAGCCUGAUGCAGCGACGCCGCGUGAGGGAUGACGGCCUUCGGGUUGUAAACCUCUUUCAGCACGGAAGAAGCGAGAGUGACGGUACGUGCAGAAGAAGUGCCGGCUAACUACGUG